GACGAACGCUGGCGGCGCGCCUAAUACAUGCAAGUUGAGCGCUGAAGGUUGGUACUUGUACCAACUGGAUGAGCAGCGAACGGGUGAGUAACGCGUGGGGAAUCUGCCUUUGAGCGGGGGACAACAUUUGGAAACGAAUGCUAAUACCGCAUAAAAACUUUAAACACAAGUUUUAAGUUUGAAAGAUGCAAUUGCAUCACUCAAAGAUGAUCCCGCGUUGUAUUAGCUAGUUGGUGAGGUAAAGGCUCACCAAGGCGAUGAUACAUAGCCGACCUGAGAGGGUGGUCGGCCACCUUGGGACUGAGACACGGCCCAAACUCCUACGGGAGGCAGCAGUAGGGAAUCUUCGGCAAUGGACGAAAGUCUGACCGAGCAACGCCGCGUGAGUGAAGAAGGUUUUCGGAUCGUAAAACUCUGUUGGUAGAGAAGAACGUUGGUGAGAGUGGAAAGCUCAUCAAGUGACGGUAACUACCCAGAAAGGGACGGCUAACUACGUG
rnacentral:rRNA from 1 species